GACCCUGGCCCGGUGAAAAAUUUUAACGGCCGCGGUACUCUGACCGUGCAAAGGUAGCAUAAUCACUUGCCUUAUAAUUGAAGGCUAGUAUGAAUGGUUUGACGAAAGCGUAUCUGUCUCUUUUCUAUUUUGUAAAAAUUAACCUCCAGGUGAAGAGGCCUGCUUAUAAUUGAAGGACGAGAAGACCCUGUCGAGCUUUAAGAAAAAAAGGAAAAUUUUAUACUUGUAAAUAUAAAACCUUUUCUAUCUUUUGGUUGGGGCGACUAGGGAACAAAAGAAGCUUCCCUUAACUAUUAAACCUUUUUGUUAGGAUCCAGUACUUUCUGAUUAAAAGAAUUAGUUACCGCAGGGAUAACAGCAUAAUCCCUUUUGAGAGACCUAAUCGAAAAAGGGGGUUGUGACCUCGAUGUUGGACUAGGAUAUCCUAAAGGUGCUUAAGCCUUUAAUGGUUGGUCUGUUCGACCAUAA
rnacentral:rRNA from 1 species